rnacentral:lncRNA from 1 species
AGGUGAGUGUGACUAUGCUGCCUGGAGGAUUUUUUGCCUGGCACUCUCUGCAACUUCCACCUGGCUCUGAGGUCCAUAUCCUGCCUCCAGCAGUAUCUGCACAAGCCCCUACUUUUGGAGCUGUAUGGAUCUUCUGCCAGCUUUUGGGUCACCUGGAAUGGUCCGGGCAUUCCCAUGUAAGCAGGAAAGAGCUACUCCUUCCAGUGUCAGACUUGCUUUCUUGUCCAGCAGCCCUCCUUCAAAUGCACAGCCUGUCAGCUCCUCAUGACUGCUUGAAGCUAUAGUGCUGAAACUGGGACACCAGCUGAAUGAUCCUGUCGGACCUCUGCUCCAUUCCAGGCAAGUACCCUGACCUUUGCCAUGGACCCAGUCCUGCUGGCUCACUUAAUACAAAGCUCAAAAUCUGCAACAGGAAGAUCCAGGCAUCCCCCAAGUGACUCUGGAAUGUGGUUAUGAGCACCAUCCUAGGAGGUGGAAGAAAGAGACUCAGAUCUGUUCAGGGAGGAAAAGGGGCUGAAUCCAGCAUUU